AUUUUUUUGAAGACCUAAUCUCGCGGGAGGCACGAAUCUCAAAGCCGCGGGAGUUCGUUCGGCGCCUUUUCCCCGUGCAAAGGCUGAGAGAUCGCUGUGCUUCGUUUUGUCAGCGAUGGUAGUUUUUCGUGGAAGGGUUAAGCUACCGCUGAUGGCUGCGACGUCCUUUCUUGUCCUGCUCCUCUUCGUCGUCUUCUUUUCUUCUCCUGGAAUUUCACCCCGGCGCUUUGAUCGCAUAACGGAACGGGAGGGAGAAACCCGUCACAAAUUCGGCCGCAGGCUUCUCGAGCGAGCAAACAAGACUACUCCUUCAAGAACAAACGACAGCAGGAUAGGCGUCGAAGGAAGCACCCCAGACGACAAGACUACA